GGUUCAAAUCCGAUAAGGGGCUUUUUUGCAUAAAAACCCAACGGUAGUAUUUCUAUUUGAGGGGAGAGGAAA
rnacentral:tRNA from 1 species